rnacentral:rRNA from 1 species
UGAGUUUGAUCAUGGCUCAGAUUGAACGCUGGCGGCAGGCCUAACACAUGCAAGUCGAGCGGUAGAGAGGAGCUUGCUUCUCUUGAGAGCGGCGGACGGGUGAGUAAUGCCUAGGAAUCUGCCUAGUGGUGGGGGAUAACGUUCGGAAACGGACGCUAAUACCGCAUACGUCCUACGGGAGAAAGCGGGGGAUCUUCGGACCUCGCGCCAUUAGAUGAGCCUAGGUCGGAUUAGCUAGUUGGUGAGGUAAUGGCUCACCAAGGCGACGAUCCGUAACUGGUCUGAGAGGAUGAUCAGUCACACUGGAACUGAGACACGGUCCAGACUCCUACGGGAGGCAGCAGUGGGGAAUAUUGGACAAUGGGCGAAAGCCUGAUCCAGCCAUGCCGCGUGUGUGAAGAAGGUCUUCGGAUUGUAAAGCACUUUAAGUUGGGAGGAAGGGUUGUAGAUUAAUACUCUGCAAUUUUGACGUUACCGACAGAAUAAGCACCGGCUAACUUCGUGCCAGCAGCCGCGGUAAUACGAAGGGUGCAAGCGUUAAUCGGAAUUACUGGGCGUAAAGCGCGCGUAGGUGGUUCGUUAAGUUGGAUGUGAAAGCCCCGGGCUCAACCUGGGAACUGCAUCCAAAACUGGCGAGUUAGAGUACGGUAGAGGGUGGUGGAAUUUCCUGUGUAGCGGUGAAAUGCGUAGAUAUAGGAAGGAACACCAGUGGCGAAGGCGACCACCUGGACUGAUACUGACACUGAGGUGCGAAAGCGUGGGGAGCAAACAGGAUUAGAUACCCUGGUAGUCCACGCCGUAAACGAUGUCAACUAGCCGUUGGGUUCCUUG